GCGGGUGUCGUAUAGUGGCUAAUAUAUCUGCCUUCCAAGCAAAUGACGAGAGUUCGAUUCUCUCCACCCGCACCA
rnacentral:tRNA from 1 species